CACUGCGAAGGUGCAGUGAAGGGCAGAUAACGGUCACUGCGAAGGUGCAGUGAAGGGCAGAUAACGGUCACUGCGAAGGUGCAGUGAAGGGCAGAUAACCGUCACUGCGAAGGUGCACUGAAGGGUAGAUAACUGUAACUGAAGUAGUAUUGACAAAGGCACUAACAUAAAGAAUAACAAACUCUAGAUUUUAGACAUGGCCCUUGCAUUGUAAAGUUGCUACAUAGCCACUUCAUCUACUUACCACCAUGUUUUACUCUUCCACUGAAAAUCAAAAAGAAAAACCUUUGCAGACUCAUUGUACUCAAUAGUUUGGAGCUCUGCCUGCUGCUGUGACAGUAGUUUCCCCUCGGUACUCC